AGUGAACGCUGGCGGUAGGCCUAACACAUGCCAGUCGAACGGCAGCACAGUAAGAGCUUGCUCUUACGGGUGGCGAGUGGCAGACGGGUGAGGAAUACAUCGGAAUCUACUUUUUCGUGGGGGAUAACGUAGGGAAACUUACGCUAAUACCGCAUACGACCUACGGGUGAAAGAAGGGGAUCUUCGGACCUUGCGCGAUUGAAUGAGCCGAUGUCGGAUUAGCUAGUUGGCGGGGUAAAGGCCCACCAAGGCGACGAUCCGUAGCUGGUCUGAGAGGAUGAUCAGCCACACUGGAACUGAGACACGGUCCAGACUCCUACGGGAGGCAGCAGUGGGGAAUAUUGGACAAUGGGCGCAAGCCUGAUCCAGCCAUACCGCGUGGGUGAAGAAGGCCUUCGGGUUGUAAAGCCCUUUUGUUGGGAAAGAAAAGCAGCAGGUUAAUACCCCGCUGUUCUGACGGUACCCAAAGAAUAAGCACCGGCUAACUUCGUG
rnacentral:rRNA from 1 species